AUACGUAUGGAGCAAGCGUUAUCCGGAUUUACUGGGUGUAAAGGGAGCGUAGACGGCAUAGCAAGUCUGAAGUGAAAUCCCAUGGCUUAACCAUGAAACUGCUUUGGAAACUGCCAGGCUAGAGUGCAGGAGAGGUAAGCGGAAUUCCUAGUGUAGCGGUGAAAUGCGUAGAUAUUAGGAGGAACACCAGUGGCGAAGGCGGCUUACUGGACUGUAACUGACGUUGAGGCUCGAAAGCGUGGGGAGCAAACAGGAUUAGAUACCCUGGUAGUCCACGCGGUAAACGAUGAAUACCAGGUGUCGGGGGGCGAAGCUCUUCGGUGCCGAAAGCAAACGCAGUAAGUAUUCCACCUGGGGAGUACGUUCGCAAGAAUGAAACUCAAAUGAAUUGACGGGG
rnacentral:rRNA from 1 species